rnacentral:snRNA from 1 species
GGAAGUGGGAGCAAUGCCGUUGCAACAUUUUCACCCCACUGAUUGCCAGGACAGAUUUAUUUGGUCUGCCUGGUUGAGUAUUCUCUUUCUCCCUCACUAUUCAGCACAUACUUGACAAAGAAGCUGACCCAUCCAUAAAGUAAGGAUUGCUAUCUGGUUGUGGGAAUGCAAGUUGUUGUCCUCUCAUGUUAGAAUUUCCAAAUAAAUUUCUAGAGAUCAUAAAGGACAUCAUAAAUAUCCUAUGAAUAGAACACAUGCAACUUUCACUAUUGUGAUAUGGAAGUGUCC